UUUGGUGUGUGCGUUUGUUCC
rnacentral:siRNA from 1 species